rnacentral:lncRNA from 1 species
CGAGAGGAGGGCUCCGCCGCGACCCGGACAGUUUCCAAUCCUGGUCAAGCGGUGGUGCUAGCUCUUUGCUGCAGGCUCUCCGCGUUUCCUAAUUUCAUGGUCACGGCAGCCUCGGAGCGGAUCCUACCCAAACUGAAAACACAAGGCUCCACGCUCAGCAGCCCUGUGCCGCCAGGAGAGGCCAAUGCCCCCUCCUGUGCCAUGCUCUAGCGCAAGACGGCAGUCUUUGGGCGACAUUCUUCUCAAGCAGGGUGCUGGUCUCUUUGGCUGCUGGUUGGAUGUGAUGGAUGCACCUCUGAUCCAGAACUUUUUCAUUUGCUGUCUUCUCAAACACACCCCUGGUUCCUCUCUCCCCAUAAGGUGGCCCGUCUGCUGCUGAGCUCUCCGCGUUCGCGGGGAAGCAGCCCGCAC